rnacentral:misc_RNA from 1 species
UCUCCGUAGGUGAACCUGCGGAGGGAUCAUUACUGAGUGAGGGCCUUCGGGCUCGACCUCCAACCCUUUGUGAACACAACUUGUUGCUUCGGGGGCGACCCUGCCGUCACGGCACCGGCGCCCCCGGCGGACAUCAAACACUGCAUCUUUGCGUCGGAGUUUAAGUAAAUUAAACAAAACUUUCAACAACGGAUCUCUUGGUUCUGGCAUCGAUGAAGAACGCAGC